rnacentral:rRNA from 1 species
GACGAACCGUGCGAACGUUGUUCGGAAUCACUGGGCUUAAAGGGCGCGUAGGCGGGUGACCAAGUCAGAGGUGAAAUCCUGCGGCUCAACCGUAGAAGAGCCCCUGAUACUGGUCGUCUUGAGGGGGGUAGGGGCAUGUGGAACUUCCGGUGGAGCGGUGAAAUGCGUAGAUAUCAUUUGGAACGCCAAUGGUGAAAACAGGUCGCUGGGGCUGUGCUGACGCUGAGACACGAAAGCCAGGGGAGCAAACGGG